rnacentral:rRNA from 1 species
UACGGAGGGCGCGAGCGUUAAUCGGAAUUACUGGGCGUAAAGCGCGCGUAGGCUGUUGUGUAAGUUGGGGGUGAAAUCCCACGGCUCAACCGUGGAACAGCCCUUGAUACUGCGCGACUUGAAUCCGGGAGAGGGUGGCGGAAUUCCAGGUGUAGGAGUGAAAUCCGUAGAUAUCUGGAGGAACACCGGCGGCGAAGGCGGCCUGCUGGACCGCGACUGACGUUGAGGCUCGAAAGCGUGGGGAGCAAACAGG